UCAGGAUGAACGCUAGCGGCAGGCCUAACACAUGCAAGUCGAGGGGCAUCGGGGAAAAGCUUGCUUUUCCGCCGGCGACCGGCGCACGGGUGCGGAACGCGUAUGGAACCUGCCCCUGUCAGGGGAAUAGCCCAGGGAAACUUGGAUUAAUGCCCCAUGGUACCGCGAUAUCGCAUGAUAUUGCGGUUAAAGAUUUAUCGGACAGGGAUGGCCAUGCGUACCAUUAGUUAGUUGGUGGGGUAACGGCCCACCAAGGCAGCGAUGGUUAGGGGCCCUGAGAGGGGGAUCCCCCACACUGGUACUGAGACACGGACCAGACUCCUACGGGAGGCAGCAGUGAGGAAUAUUGGACAAUGGGCGGGAGCCUGAUCCAGCCAUGCCGCGUGCAGGAUGACGGCCCUAUGGGUUGUAAACUGCUUUUAUACGGGAAGAAAUGCGCCCACGUGUGGGCGUCUGACGGUACCGUAAGAAUAAGGACCGGCUAACUCCGUGCCAGCAGCCGCGGUAAUACGGAGGGUCCGAGCGUUAUCCGGAAUCAUUGGGUUUAAAGGGUCCGUAGGCGGGCCUGUAAGUCAGGGGUGAAAGUUUGUGGCUCAACCAUAAAAUUGCCUUUGAUACUGCAGGUCUUGAGUCAUGGUGGGGUCGCCGGAACAUGUGGUGUAGCGGUGAAAUGCAUAGAUAUCACAUAGAACACCGAUCGCGAAGGCAGGUGGCCAACCAUGUACUGACGCUGAUGGACGAAAGCGUGGGUAGCGAACGGGAUUAGAUACCCCGGUAGUCCACGCCGUAAACGAUGGAUACUAGCUGUGGGGACUUCGUUCACCGUGGCCAAGCGAAAG
rnacentral:rRNA from 1 species